GCGGGGAGUGUGUGGAGAUGUGUUAGCUAGCGAACGUAUUCGAGGCUAUUUGGACUUUCUCAAAACUAAGCAGCUUUAGAGAACGUUUGAGGAAGUUUUAAAGCCGUAUUCCGCGGCUCCGGUGCGGGAGUAUUUUGGGAGUAUUUUGGCUUUAAGCCAAAUUAGCGAGGAGAACCAUCAACGCGAAUCAGCCGGUGUAGGCUGGGCUUUCUAUCGAUGGGAAAGUCAACAGGUAUGAGUGAUAGGCAGCAUUCGCUCCGUUUCCCUGACGACAGCACUUACUUGACCUGAGCCUCAGCCUGCAUGAAGAUGAACUCCCACUUUCUGGCGAAAGCUCUCUGCAGCCUGGCCAGGUUUUCCUGAAAAUGAAAGAACACUGAGCCAUGGCCCAAUCGAUGCUGUUGAUGCUGUUGAUUUUCCCCAGCCGGUCACUGAUGAACGACUCUCAAGUUCACCUCCCCAAUCAUACACCGACGUGACCUGCAUUUCUCCAUCAGACAACAGCAUCACCACAGCCGACAAACAAUGAGCCAGUAAUGCAGGAGGAAAAACAAGCUGUACUCCUGAAACAAAAUGAUAAUUACUGUUUGUUAUGUUCUGUAUCCCUUCCAUACAGAGCAAACCAAUACAAGGAAACACAAGAAUAGGUUUUAAUAUGUGUUCACUGAAAAACAUCUUUAUUUUGGCCUCAACAUGCGAUGUUGAGUCAUAAGCAAUUUAAUACACUGCAUUAACUGCACUCAGCCAGAAACAUAAACCACUGUAUUAAAUCACAUUAAAUUAUAUCUAAACCACAA